rnacentral:rRNA from 1 species
AUUGAACGCUGGCGGCAUGCCUUACACAUGCAAGUCGAACGAGUGGCGAACGGGGGAGUAAUACAUCGGAACGUGCCCUGUAGUGGGGGAUAACUAGACGAAAGACUAGCUAAUACCGCAUACUAUUGGAGCGGCCGAUGUCUGAUUAGCUAGUGGGUGGGGUAAAGGCCUACCAAGGCGACGAUCAGUAGCUGGGCUGAGAGGACGAUCAGCAACACUGGGACGGAGACACGGCCCAGACUCCUACGGGAGGCAGCAGUGGGGAAGUUUGGACAAUGGGGGCAAUCCUGAUGAAGCAAUGCCACGUGUGUGAAGAAGGCCUUCGGGUUGUAAAGCACUUUUGUCCGGGAAGCGGUACCGGAAGAAAAAGGACCGGCUAACUACGUGCCAGCAGCCGCGGUAAUAC